UCCUACGGGUGGCUGCAGUGGGGAAUAUUGGACAAUGGGCGCAAGCCUGAUCCAGCAAUGCCGCGUGUGUGAAGAAGGCCUUCGGGUUGUAAAGCACUUUUGUUUGGGAAGAAAUCCGGUUGGUUAAUACCUGAUCGGGAUGACGGUACCAAAAGAAUAAGCACCGGCUAACUUCGUGCCAGCAGCCGCGGUAAUACGAAGGGUGCAAGCGUUAAUCGGAAUUACUGGGCGUAAAGCGUGCGUAGGUGGUUUGUUAAGUCAGAUGUGAAAGCCCUGGGCUCAACCUGGGAACUGCAUUUGAUACUGGCAGGCUAGAGUGCGGUAGAGGGUGGUGGAAUUCCCGGUGUAGCGGUGAAAUGCGUAGAGAUCUGGAGGAACAUUCGUGGCGAAGGCGGCCACCUGGACCAGCACUGACACUGAGGCACGAAAGCGUGGGGAGCAAACAGGAUUAGAUACCCCAGUAGUCC
rnacentral:rRNA from 1 species